rnacentral:rRNA from 1 species
GGCCGCGGGAAUUGGAUUCAGGCCUAACACAUGCAAGUCGAACGGCAGCACGGGAGCUUGCUCCUGGUGGCGAGUGGCGAACGGGUGAGUAAUACAUCGGAACGUACCCAGUAGUGGGGGAUAACGCACCGAAAGGUGCGCUAAUACCGCAUACGACCUACGGGUGAAAGCGGGGGACCGUAAGGCCUCGCGCUAUUGGAGCGGCCGAUGUCUGAUUAGCUAGUUGGUGAGGUAAAGGCUCACCAAGGCUUCGAUCAGUAGCUGGUCUGAGAGGACGAUCAGCCACACUGGGACUGAGACACGGCCCAGACUCCUACGGGAGGCAGCAGUGGGGAAUUUUGGACAAUGGGCGAAAGCCUGAUCCAGCAAGGCCGCGUGUGCGAAGAA